CUCCCACGCGCAAACUCAAUUUUGUAUUGCUUAGACUCCUGGGGUCCUUUCACACAAAAAGAAAAAGACACGCAGAGUCAUUCCAAUCCACAACUCAAAACACAUCUUCAUUCGAUACCUUUUCUUUGAACUUAAUCCUCAAUGUUAUAGUGUUAUUUUUCUCCACUGGGGUGAUUGAUUGUCUGCUCAAUCUCAGUUAUCUAUUCACCUUUCUUGAUUUUGGUCAUCACUUCAGUGCUAGUGCCAGAGCAAUUAGAAUUUUAAAGUUUAUAUUUCCUUAAAGUUGAAGCGUUGAUAUUAUCUGAAUUGUUUAAUCGAGUAAUCCAUUCAGUUCAAUAAAUUGAGCUAACACCAAACAAACCCUAAGUUUGAUUUUGAGUUGAGGUUUUCAUUUUGCCGUGAAAGAGUGGAGAAAAGGAGCUCUACUAUCAACUCAUUUGUCUCCAUUUUUUCAUAGGAUGUCUGCUCCACUAUUGCUUUUACAAUUCAGGUGGCAUCUUACUUCAAGCAUAAGCCUCUCCUUGCAACUUGCACCUCAAUCAGAGAGUUUUUCCAUGGUCUGAUGAAGCCUACUUCUMUGGAGCACAUAUAACAUAUGUCAUUCAAAAUCUUUAAGGGCUUUCGGGAACAUAUCACCUACUUAUUUUAGCUAAUUUGUUCAGACAUUGCUUGUAGUUGUCCACCAACAGAAGAGAGCUCAAGUACGUCUUUCAUGCUUAUCAACAACUCUGAACAUAAAUAUCUAUGUUGGUACAUUUGUUUUUUUUUUAUCCAAUUGUUUCAAAUAGAGAUAUAAGUACUAGGGAUUAUUUGUAGUGAAAAAAUAGAGAAUAAAUAAAGGAUGAAAAGAUUGAUUACUAGUGCCAUUGCUUUUUAAGUUUUAGAAUUGACCUUCUAAAGAAGUUGGCUUAGAGACAACUUUUAUAAAAACAUUUUAUUAUUUGAUUAUUUUAUCCAUUUAAAGAAAAAAAUUAAGUAAUUCAGUUCAGCAAUUUCAACCAUAGUUUUUAAAACCGAACCGGUUAGGGGUCCGAUUACUGGGUUGAACAGUCAGUACGUUCAGACAAAAAAUUAUAAAAAUUAUAAAAAUUAAAAAAUGAUCAAAACCGUUCAAACGGUUAACCGCCCGAGUCAACAGUUUUUUGAGAAAAUCCGGUUUUGGGAAAACCGAAAUUCACCUGGCCGUUUCCCAAUUUUUUUGGUCCGAUCGUCCGGUCUGGUCCGGUUUUGAAAACCAUGAUUUCAACUAUUAUGAAGCAGUUCCUUAGUCAAAGUUUUCUUAGCUAAAUGAGCACAAAUUAAGCCUAAAAGGUUCAACAUAGUUUAUGCUAAAGUUGGUUUAGGUAUUACAUAUCAAGCUCUUUUCAUUUUGCAAAUGUGUUGCUAUAUGCUAUAAGCUGAAGUAAUAAUGCAAAGUGGUUGCAAGGUUUAGUGGUAGCGUGCAUAAGAGGGAGUUGGAUGCGGACACCAAACAUUACACUCUUAUGGAUUAAUUGAGUGGUAAACAGGUUUAAUGUUGUGAGGAGGGAUGGAAACCAAAUAGCUCAUUUGGUGUCGAGCAAGGAUUUCCAAAUCUUUGAAGAAUGAGUCAUUGAUCCUCCAGCUUGGCUGUUUAAUAUGCUCACUUGAUGUUUCUUUUGGUAAAUUGUAUCUCUAUGUUAUGUUUUUUUUUAAUGAAAUUUCUAUUAAUAAAGACAAUUUGUAUUUUUUUGA